CAAAAAAUAGUUUAUUUAAAAUUUAAAGUUUGGGACUCUAAGAUGUAUGUUACUUUUUUGA
rnacentral:tRNA from 1 species